rnacentral:rRNA from 1 species
GUGGGGAAUCUUCCGCAAUGGGCGAAAGCCUGACGGAGCAACGCCGCGUGAGUGAAGAAGGCCUUCGGGUCGUAAAGCUCUGUUGUCGGGGACGAAUGUACGAACUAUCAACAACGGUUCGUAAUGACGGUACCUGACGAGGAAGCCACGGCUAACUACGUGCCAGCAGCCGCGGUAAUACGUAGGUGGCGAGCGUUGUCCGGAAUUAUUGGGCGUAAAGGGAGCGCAGGCGGGAGGCCAAGUCCAUCCUAAAAGUUCGGGGCUCAACCCCGUGAGGGGAUGGAAACUGGUCUUCUUGAGUGCAGGAGAGGAAAGCGGAAUUCCUAGUGUAGCGGUGAAAUGCGUAGAUAUUAGGAGGAACACCAGUGGCGAAGGCGGCUUUCUGGACUGUAACUGACGCUGAGGCUCGAAAGCCAGGGGAGCGAACGGG